AGCCUAACACAUGCAAGUCGAACGGCAGCACAGGAGAGCUUGCUCUCUGGGUGGCGAGUGGCGGACGGGUGAGGAAUACAUCGGAAUCUACUUUCGUGGGGGAUAACGUAGGAAACUUACGCUAAUACCGCAUACGACCUACGGGUGAAAGCCAGGGGAUCUUCGGACCUUGCGCGCAUUGAAUGAGCCGCAUGUCGGAUUAGCUAGCUGGCGGGGUAAAGGCCCACCAA
rnacentral:rRNA from 1 species